UACGAAGGGGGGCUAGCGUUGCUCGGAAUUACUGGGCGUAAAGGGCGCGUAGGCGGAUGUUUAAGUCGGGGGGUGAAAGCCCAGGGCUCAACCCUGGAAUUGCCUUCGAUACUGGACAUCUUGAGUGCGGGAGAGGUGAGUGGAACUCCGAGUGUAGAGGUGAAAUUCGUAGAUAAUUCGGAAGAACACCAGUGGCGAAGGCGACUCACUGGCCCGUUACUGACGCUGAUGCGCGAAAGCGUGGGGAGCAAACAGG
rnacentral:rRNA from 1 species